AAAUGUGGUGGAAAGUGUACACUUGAUUGCCAGGGUCUUAGAUAAGUCUGCCAGCAGCUUGAGAAUGUAAUAUGGUUGAGGAUGAUUUCUUCAGCACACCAACCUUGUCCAUGCAGCCCCCAGAAUGUCGCCCAUGAGGAAAUGUGGCUCCUGGGCUGAAUAGGGUUCCCUACCUCUGACUUACUUCCUCCUCCCUUCCAAUCCCUUUCCUUUUGGGUUGUGCAUUUUUAGAUAGCUUCAGAUUGAUCUGUAAUCCACAUGGUUCUCUCCCCACCCCCCGCCUGCCAAUCAAGGUUGUACUCUGCCAAUUUCACAGCUAACUAUGGUUAACACUAAAUGUAUAACUACAGCUGGCACCAAACCAAAGUUGGCAAACUCUUUGCAGUCUGCAAUGAUCAGUGGCCUGGUUUACACGUGGCACAAAACCAUAAUUAAAUGCCUCCGUCCCUAACCUGGUACCAUCUGGGUGUUUCAGACUAAAAAACUUGCAUAAUCUCUGACCACUGGCCAUUUUGGUCGAGACCAAUUGUAGACCAAAACAUUUAGAAGGCUCUGAUUUGGGGAAGACUGGUUUAGUACUGUGUGUUCAAGCCUUGGGCUUGUGCAUUUCCUUUUACCCUCCCUUAUCACACAUUCAAGGAGAUCAAAAGCAUUCAUUUCUGUUUUGAGCUAAUCACAGCUUUUAAGGUCCCGACAGAACCCAGCCAAAUUGUACUUAGUGUUAACUAUGCUUUACUGUAACAAGCCAGGUUCAUUAACCACAACGUCGGCUCAUUUUAAUAAACUACAGGCAACACUAACCACAGUUAUUCUUUGACAGGCAAGUACAAGAAGAUGGGUAAAGUGCUGCAAUUAUCCACAAGGCUGCCUAUAUGCAAUGCACAUAGUAAUACUUUUAAAGUAAUUGAUCAGGCAGCAUUAUAUCUUAAGGGUUUCAAAAGUUAACAAAACAGACAAUCCUCAGAAGAGACACUUCAUGAACUUUUUGCAGUGCACUUCCAUGAUGUGCAUCUUUUCCUAUCACCAUCAGACAUCUGAAGCCCAGGUUAUCCUCCUUUUGGUAGAUGGAUGCAGGUCUUCUGCACCAAAACUGAAGGAAAGGGAAGGUCAAGAGAAGCACUAAAGCAAGCAACCUCUGGAAGUCAGGAAAAAAGCUGGCCUCACACGAUUAAUUAGAUCAUGCUGCUUUCUAUGUCAUCUUAAAAAUAAAUAAAAAUCAAUACUUGCAA